CCUGAGAAACCCAAAAGAUCGAAUGGAGAGAUUCAUCGUCAGCUCAUAUUGUAUAUGUAUAAUUUAUGAUACGAGUUACCUUUGUUGUAUUGCUUAUACAUAUUUGUACAUUUAUUUGCAAUUUGUUGUCGGCGUGCACUUCUCUCCUAGUAGAACAUCGCGACCCGUUGAGUGUUGGUCUACGACCUAAAUGGUAGACUUUAAUAUUUAAAAGUAUUAGAGACCAUUAUAGUGUAGUCUGACCGGCUGCUCGGCGGUACUCGUACGGUAUUUAGCCGCAUUAUUAUAUGCGUUCAUAUCCGUCGCAAGCGAGGCUAGUUUCUUAGUAGUACGGACAUUGUGCCGUCGCUAGUACUGGCCAGCUGUUGGCUGUAACGGUAUUCUAGAACUGGCUAAAAAAAAAAUAAUAUUACCGGUCGGCRAUGCUACUGCUUUGGGUACUUUCAGGACCCGUCUUGAAACACGGACCAAGGAGUCUAACAUGUACGCAAGUCAUUGGGAUUAUUUUAAAUUAAACCUAAAGGCGUAAUGAAAGUAAAGGUCGUCUUUUAGUCGACCAAGGGAGGAUAAAUUAUAUUAUGAUAUAAUUUCGCACUCCUGGGGCGUCUCAUUCUCAUUACGAGAAGAGGCGCACCUAG
rnacentral:rRNA from 1 species